GUGCAGUUGGUGUCCUGGAGCCAGAGUAUUGUGGCUUGGACAGGAGGUGGAAUGCUAUCUGUGCAUUCUUGUUUCUACAUCUCAUUCACUGCCAUGACAUGGAAGGCUAUGGAUGCAACGAAAUUUUGACAAUCCAUUCAACAGCUUUUUCCAGAUCAGUUGAGGAGGGAUCUGCAUUCAACUCAAUCAGGACAGGCAAUUUACAAGUUCGCUGGUGACACCACACAGUCGGUCAAAUCAGACUACAGACUACAGACAAGAGG